UUAGCGGCGGACGGGUGAGUAACACGUGGGCAACCUGCCCUGUAGAUCGGGAUAACAUCGAGAAAUCGGUGCUAAUACCGGAUAAUUUCUAGAAUCUCAUGGUUCUAGAAUAAAAGAUGGCUCCGGCUAUCACUACGGGAUGGGCCCGCGGCGCAUUAGCUAGUUGGUAAGGUAACGGCUUACCAAGGCGACGAUGCGUAGCCGACCUGAGAGGGUGAUCGGCCACACUGGGACUGAGACACGGCCCAGACUCCUACGGGAGGCAGCAGUAGGGAAUCUUCCGCAAUGGACGAAAGUCUGACGGAGCAACGCCGCGUGAGUGAUGAAGGAUUUCGGUUCGUAAAGCUCUGUUGUUAGGGAAGAACAAGUGCCGUUCAAAUAGGGCGGCACCUUGACGGUACCUAACCAGAAAGCCACGGCUAACUACGUGCCAGCAGCCGCGGUAAUACGUAGGUGGCAAGCGUUGUCCGGAAUUAUUGGGCGUAAAGCGCGCGCAGGCGGUCUUUUAAGUCUGAUGUGAAAGCCCACGGCUCAACCGUGGAGGGUCAUUGGAAACUGGGAGACUUGAGUACAGAAGAGGAGAGUGGAAUUCCACGUGUAGCGGUGAAAUGCGUAGAUAUGUGGAGGAACACCAGUGGCGAAGGCGACUCUCUGGUCUGUAACUGACGCUGAGGCGCGAAAGCGUGGGGAGCAAACAGGAUUAGAUACCCUGGUAGUCCACGCCGUAAACGAUGAGUGCUAGGUGUUAGGGGUUUCGAUGCCCUUAGUGCCGAAGUUAACACAUUAAGCACUCCGCCUGGGGAGUACGACCGCAAGGUUGAAACUCAAAGGAAUUGACGGGGGGCCCGCACAAGCAGUGGAGCAUG
rnacentral:rRNA from 1 species